rnacentral:lncRNA from 1 species
AUGGAGGCCUCAUGGGCUCAGAAAGCCUUAGGAAAAUGUAGGGCAUCACAAUGCCUGCCAGCAUCACAGAAGCUGGUGAGAGAACAGCCAAAGCCCAGUUCAGAGAAGGCUAUUUUGACACAGGUUUUUAAAGAAAACAAGCCCUUCUACCAAUUGCAACACUCACAUGCUAUCCUCCCAGGAGGAGCCGUCGCUACCAUAACAUCCCCAUCCAAUGACUGGAGAGCAGAGGUACCUUUCACCUGGGAUGAGAAGACAGUACGCAACGGGGCGGUGCUUCCCGUCCAGAAGAGUUGGUCUUUUAUUCUUCCGGGCUUUAGGGCAGCCAUUGAGCUAGGCUCAGGGAGCCCUCAGUUCACCGCCCUGCAGCCCAGUGAAUGCUGUAAUAGAAACAUAAACCCAGUGCUGAGGAACACAAUUCUCUAUAGACAAUGCAACCCCUUACUGCCAGCAUCUGAAGCAGAUACUUCCGUGCCCUACACUGCACCCUUGACACUACCCACUACCAGAUACACAGGGAUGCAAGAAGGAAGUGAGAGAAAUUGGAGACAACUAAUAAGGUGGUUGAAAAUGAAAACCUUCAGGGGAUAG